GACGAACGUUGGCGGCGUGCCUAAUACAUGCAAGUCAACUGAAAUACCGGUAGCAAUACUGGUAUGGAGGUGGCGCACGGGUGAGUAACACGUAGGUAAUCUGCCUUCAGGUCUGACAUAACCCAUCGAAAGGUGAGCUAAUAUCAGAUGAUGCAGCGGCUUGACAUCAAGACAGUUGUUAAAGCUUCGGCGCCUGAAGAUGAGCCNGCGUCUGAUUAGCUAGUUGGCGGGGUAACGCCCACCAAGGCUGCGAUCAGUAGCUGGUCUGAGAGGAUGAUCAGUCACAC
rnacentral:rRNA from 1 species